rnacentral:rRNA from 1 species
UACAGAGGGUGCAAGCGUUAAUCGGAAUUACUGGGCGUAAAGCGUGCGUAGACGGUUAUGUAAGUCGGGUGUGAAAGCCCCGGGCUCAACCUGGGAAUUGCAUUCGAGACUGCGUAGCUAGGGUGCGGAAGAGGGAAGCGGAAUUUCCGGUGUAGAGGUGAAAUUCGUAGAUAUUGGGAAGAACACCGGUGGCGAAGGCGGCGACCUGGUCCGAUACUGACGCUGAGGCGCGAAAGCGUGGGGAGCAAACAGG